GCGGCCCCAGUUGACACUGGCAAGUGGCAUUUCCUGGUUGGUGUGGAAAUGCAGCUGCACCCCUCAGGGUUCUCCACCAGGAAUCUCUGCAAGUGCGGCCUCACGAACAAGCAUUUCUACAGAUGAUCAAGGGAGAAUUUCCUUGCGCUGAAAAAUGAAAGUGGGCUUUAUCUCCUUGAGAACCUGACCUUGACAAGUAGAAAUCUACCUGACAAGUAGAUUUGCUUUUUCUGUGGCUAACCUUUCUGCAUAUGGAUCUUGUUAGGGAGAAGCAUAGCAUUGGAGACAUUUAUUUUCUAAUAAAUACGAUAGUUGUCAUGCUAAAAAGUAGAGUUUUGAAAAAUUAUCUUUCUCAUGUUAGUCAUUUUGUAGUGAUUAUAAAGACGUAUGAGCAGGCCUGCCCUUCUUUGUUGGCUAAAUCGACCAUCAACAAGGAACAGAUGGAUCUGCCAUUUUCCUGAUAAAGCAUCGCUGCUGCUGCUGCUGCUAAGUCACUUCAGUCGUGUCCGACUCUGUGCGACCCCAUAGACGGCAGCCCACCAGGCUCCCCCGUCCCUGGGAUUCUCCAGGCAAGAACACUGGAGUGGGUUGCCAUUUCCUUCUCCAAUGCACGAAAGUGAAAAGUGAAAGUGAAGUCGCUCAGUCGUGUCUGACUCUUAGCGACCCCAUGGACUGCAGCCCACCAGACUCCUCCGUCCAUGGGAUUUUCCAGGCAAGAGUACUGGAGUGGGGUGCCACUGUCUUCUCCGAAAGCAUCACUGCUGUCUCUCGUUCUUACGAAGCAACGUGGUUGUUUUAAGAAGAAGAGAGAAACGAUUCUAGCUUUAGCUGUGGGAACGUUCCUGCUUGCUGGCCUGACUCGACCAUUGGCUGGUCUGGGGUAAAAGUACAAAGCUUGGACGUGCAGGUCUGAAUGAAACGUCUUGGGCCGCUGCAAGUUCUGGGGUGGAGACCAAUGGCAGCAGCUCUAGCUGACCUCUGGCUCACGACCAGGUGUUUCUUUCUCCAUCCUCAGCUUUGUCUCCCACCCGAGAGGCCUCAUCUGCACAGGUGCGGGUACUCCAUCUUCACAUUUCAGAGGAGGAAAGUGAAGCAGGGAGAGGUUUUAAGGCACCAAAGUUUGCAUACCUGCUGCCAGGAGCUGUCCACAGGAUUCCAUGUGUAUGAAUAUGCCAUCGACACGGCAGAAGAGGAAAGCCGCGGAGUGGUACCAGCUCCCACAGCAGCAUUCUCUGUGAGUUCUCCCGUGGUGAGUGCGGCAGCCAAAGGAUUCCACAGCUUCAUCCCACUCUUACUCUCAGACUCCACUCUGCAGCCUCGGCACUGCCCUCCGCAUCACAGAAGAGAAAUGGACCCUCCUUUCCUGGAUCAUCAACUAUUUUUCCAUCCUUCCUCAAUACCCACUUUCAUGAUCAUUCUCUAGAACUUAUUACCAACAUCUCUGUCACUCUUCAUAAGCUUAACUUAGAGUCUCAUUCUCUGAAAACCAUAUCUUAUGCUUCCCAUUCAUUUCCCCCAAAUGUCUAAGGCACCAAGAACUCACUUAACCUCACAGGGAACUCUGAUUGACCCUAGUGCUGUCCCAGAAGCCCCUCAGUCUUUCCUUAAAUCUUGCUGUGAAUAUUCUCAUCUAGGUAGCAGACCAAGGUUGGAGAAAAGCAUACAAUUGUGACAACUUUAAAUAAAAAAAUAAAUGAAUGACCACUAAUCUCAAGUGGAAUCUUAGCAUUGCCAGGAAACACAUUACUUCUCUCUCCUGCCUUGAGCUUCCCUGGUGGCUCAGCAGUAAAGAAUCUGCCUGUCAGUGCAGGAAAGCUGAGUUUAGUCUCUGGGUCAGGAAGAUUCCCAGGAGAAGGAAAUGGCAAUCCACCCAGUAUUCUUGCCUGGGAAAUCCUGUGGACAGAGGAGCCUGGCUGGCUAUAGUCUGUGGAGUUGGGAACAGUCGGACAUGACUUAGCAACUAAACGACUGCCUUUGUUCUCCUAUUACAUUAGGCCAUUGUUCUACAACUUUCCUCCAAAGGCCCUAACCUCCUUCUCAAUAGUUCUCAUCUGAUGAUCUUGCUAGGUAUUUCCUUGGGAAAACUGAAGCAGCCAGAGAUCUCCCAUGUGUUCUCAGCACCCCAUCUCCCGGACCGCCUCUCUGCAGCCUGUAGUGCCCCCUCUUAGACCAUUCCUGCUCAGUCUGCCCUCUGUGGCAGCCCUUCUUGGGCACGGCACCCACCCCCUAUAAUCUGCUCUAGGAACUUUCUCUGCAAAUCCCUCCCCUUGCUCCUGCUUUAACAUUUCUUUUCUGCACAACCACAUUUAAUAUUUUCCAUCUUGAAAGAGCCCUCCCCCAAUGCCACAGUCCCUUCUACCUCUGACCUUGCUUCUCUUUGCAGCAAAUCUCAGAAGUGAUAAUUACACUUACCGUCUCCACAUCCUUUACUUUUCUCCUCUCUUGAACCAACUCCAAUCAACUUCUUGUCCCUCUGCUGAACUGAGACAGCUGAAGGCUUUCACAGGUGUUUACCAACCCAGUGGUCAAGGUUUUAUUGUCUUACUCAGCCCAUAGGCUGUCUUCGACACAGCUCAUGUUCUCCUUCACACGUCUCCUUCACUGGCUUCCAGAAGGCGGCUGUCUCUCACUCCUUCUCCUGUAUCCUUGGUCAUUUCUUCUCCUUUGCUCUCCUCACCUUAAUUUUUGUGGACUCCAUGGGCAUGAAGUUAUAUUUUUUCUCAAGCUACUUCUGCUUCCUAGGUGGACUCAUCUUCCAAGGGCUCUUGCCCAGCUCAGAUCUUCUAUACUCAGUGUCCUAUUUAACAUCUCCAUCCAGAUGUUUACCAGGCUUCCCAAAACGUAACACUCACACUCUCCCAUCUUUCGGAAAGGUAAAAUCUUCUUCCAGCCUCUCAAGCCAAAAUCCUCAGUUAUUCCUGACUCUCCUCACACCCAGGUCCACACCUUCAGCACAUUCUGACAGUUCUUCCUUUGUCCUAUGAUUCAAACAAUCUGAGCACCUCUGACAACUCCCACUACUACGACAGUUUUUCAGCUCAUUAUAAAUUCUCACUUGGACUUUCCCAAUUGUUUCUUGUUAUCCUAGCAUCUGAACUGGCCCCUUUAUGGUGCACACAUCACACACAACCAGGAGGAUCCUUUUAAAACCUAAGUCAGAUCAUGACACUACUCUGCAAAAGAGACCUCGAGGGCUCCGUCUCAGCAGAGGUGUCUGGCCUCAUUUCCCAUCGCUGGCCUCUUUGCUCUGUUUGCUCCUCUGAGAGGAGGAUGCCGCAGGGCCUUUGAAUGUGAGCUCCCUGUGCUGUACUCAGGCCAUCAGUUCUCUCCCUGCUUCGUUCUUCUCCACAGCCCUUUCUAGCACCUGGAAAAUCAUGCCUUCUUUUCUUUAUCUGUCUCCCCAAACAAGAUGUUAAGCGUCCCAAGGGGAGAAGCUGUGUUUUGCUCAUUAUUAUACCCUCAAGGCCUGGAACAAUGCUUGGAAAAUGAUAGGCUUCUGAAA
ensembl:lncRNA